rnacentral:rRNA from 1 species
AAUUAAGUUACUUAAGGGCGUACGGUGGAUGCCUUGGCUCUCAGAGGCUAUGAAGGACGUGAUAGGCUGCGAUAAGCUGCGGGAAAUUGUCUAUAAAUAUUAUAUCCGCAGAUUUCCGAAUGGGGCAACCCAUCCAAUUUAUUGGAUUUAAGCUAACCCGCUGAACUGAAACAUCUAAGUAAGCGGAGGAAGAGAAAACAAGAGUGAUUUCCAGAGUAGUGGCGAGCGAAAUGGAAUUAGCCCAAACCUAAGCGUGUAGCAAUGCCGUUUAGGGGUUGUAGGACCAUCAAAAUAUAUGAUGUGUAGAUAGUAGAAUGGCUUGGGAAAGCCAACCAUAGAGGGUGACAGUCCCGUAUACGAAAUCAGAUCAUCGUAAGAUGGCACCUGAGUAGGGCGGAGCCGGUGAAACUCUGUCUGAAUCUGCCAGCACCAUCUGGUAAGGCUAAAUACUCCUGAGAGACCGAUAGCGAACAAGUACCGUGAGGGAAAGGUGAAAAGUAUCUCGAACAGAGAGGUGAAAAGAACCUGAAACCGUACGUUUACAAGCGGUCGAAGCCUUCGGGCGACGGCGUGCCUUUUGCAUAAUGAGCCUACGAGUUGCUCUUCCCUGGCAAGGUUAAGUACUUCUGGUACGAAGCCGUAGCGAAAGCAAGUCUGAAUAGGGCGAAAGUCAGUGGAGGCAGACGCGAACCUUGGUGAUCUACCCAUGGUCAGGUUGAAGCUGUGGUAACACAUAGUGGAGGACCGAACUAGUUCACGUUGAAAAGUGUUUAGAUGAACUGUGGGUAGGGGUGAAAGGCCAAUCAAACUGAGAGAUAGCUCGUACUCCCCGAAAUGUUUUUAGGAACAGCCUCAGGUUAAGUGUACUAGAGGUAGAGCUACCGAUUGGGUAAGGGGGCUUCACCGCCUACCGAACCCAGACGAACUCCGAAUACUAGUAUAUGUUUCCUGGGAGUGAGGGCAUGGGUGCUAAGGUCCUUGUCCGAGAGGGAAAGAACCCAGACCAUCAGCUAAGGUCCCUAAAUGUGUUCUAAGUUGAUCUAAUGUGGUUUGAUUGCAUUGACAGCUAGGAUGUUGGCUUGGAAGCAGCCAUUCAUUUAAAGAGUGCGUAACAGCUCACUAGUCGAGCGAUCAUGCAUAAAUAAUAAUCGGGCAUUAAGAAUACUACCGAAGCUAUGGAUUUAUGGUAGGGGAGCAUUCCAAUUUCAGUGAAGGCAGAUUGUAAAGUCUGUUGGAGAAUUUGGAAAAGAAAAUGUAGGCAUAAGUAACGAUUAAGCGGGUGAGAAACCCGCUCGCCGUAUGACUAAGGUUUCCUGAUCAACGCUAAUCGGAUCAGGGUUAGUCGGGUCCUAAGGUGUACCGAUUCAGGGAAGCCGAUGGAAAACAGGUUAAUAUUCCUGUACCAGUUGAAGGGGACGGAGAAUUGUAGCAGCUACGGGGUGACGGAAGUCCCCGUUGAGCUUAGCCUUCGGGCGAAGCGAAGUUGUGAAUUUUCUUCCAAGAAAAGCCUCAACAAUAGCCCGUACCGCAAACCGACACAGGUAGUCGAGGAGAAUAUCCUAAGGCGCUCGAGUGAGUCGUGGUUAAGGAACUCGGCAAAUUAACCCUGUAACUUCGGGAUAAGGGGUCCCCACUUCGGUGGGGCGCAGAGAAAUGGCCCAGGCGACUGUUUAUCAAAAACACAUGGCUUUGCAAAAUCGAAAGAUGAUGUAUAAGGCCUGACACCUGCCCGGUGCCGGAAGGUUAAGGAAGGUUGUUAGCUUCGGCGAAGCAAUUGACUGAAGCCCCGGUAAACGGCGGCCGUAACUAUAACGGUCCUAAGGUAGCGAAAUUCCUUGUCGGGUAAGUUCCGACCUGCACGAAUGGUGUAACGAUCUGGGCACUGUCUCGACCACGAGCUCGGUGAAAUUGUAGUAUCGGUGAAGAUGCCGGUUACCCGCAAUGGGACGAAAAGACCCCGUGAACCUUCACUACAGCUUCACAUUGAUUUUGACUAUAUAAUGUGUAGGAUAGGUGGGAGACUUUGAUCUUCUGGCGCUAGUCAGGGGGGAGUCGUUGGUGAAAUACCACCCUUUAUCUAGUUGGAAUCUAACCCGAUUACGGGAACAGUGUGUGGUGGGUAGUUUGACUGGGGUGGUCGCCUCCAAAAAAGUAACGGAGGCUUUCAAAGGUACCCUCAGUACGGUUGGUAAUCGUACGUAGAGUGUAAUGGCACAAGGGUGCUUGACUGAGAGACUGACAAGUCGAUCAGGGUCGAAAGACGGACAUAGUGAUCCGGUGGUUCUGUAUGGAAGGGCCAUCGCUCAAAGGAUAAAAGGUACUCCGGGGAUAACAGGCUGAUCGCGCCCAAGAGCUCAUAUCGACGGCGCGGUUUGGCACCUCGAUGUCGGCUCGUCACAUCCUGGGGCUGGAGAAGGUCCCAAGGGUUGGGCUGUUCGCCCAUUAAAGUGGCACGCGAGCUGGGUUCAGAACGUCGUGAGACAGUUCGGUCU